rnacentral:tRNA from 1 species
AGUAGAAUAGGCCAAAUUGGUAGGGCAGUUGACUGUUACUCAACCCAAGACAAUCUUAACCGAUUGUGUGUGCAGGUUCGAAUCCUGCUUCUACUGCCA